rnacentral:ncRNA from 1 species
GGUCACGAGAUUCAGCGCCAAGCCCCGGCUCGCUGGACGGCAACCCUCCCUCGCGGCGGGGUGCUCCGGGUGAUGACCUGGUGACGACCAGCGCCGGUCCGUCGCAAGCGCGAGGC